CUACAUUCCGUGGCAGCCUGGCUCCAACAUCCCAGGGAAUUGUGUCACUCCCAUUGAGCAGCUGUGGGGCCCUCUCCCACAUGGCCCAGGUCCACCACUCUGUCAAAGGUCGCACAGCCCAGACAAAAACAGGACACAGCAGUGUGUGAAUGAGCCGGGCUUUCUCCUUCCCUCCACGUAAUAGAAGGUGCCUGAGGUUGUUGAAACACAGUCCAUUUCUCCUGGGAAUGACAAGAAUUUGAGGGAUGCUGACUUUCAAGGAAUACUGCAUGACAGGCAUCAAGAUAAACCUGAUGAAGAAAACAUAGGCCAGAAUCUGGGAAUCGGGAGCAAAGUAAUACAGCUUCGGGGACAGGCACGUAAUGAGGUCAUGAUGUAGGAGACUCCCUGCAGGACUGGCGGCCCCUGUUCCCUGGGUUGUUCUGGCUCUUUCAGAUUUAUAUGUUAACAAGCUGAAUUCCUGCUUCAUCUGGAGGACUGCACAGUGUAUCUGAGAGAGGAUUUUCAGGAGGCCAGAAAAUCAAGCUGGAGGGAUUUUCAGCGUGUUGGGAGAUUGCUACCUGUUUUAAGUCAGGCCAUUGCCACGUCUUUUUCCCCACCUUGGAGACUUCAGCUGUUUUCCUUCACUAAUAUUUCCAAAACACACAACAACAGUUGGCAUCGCUCGCAUAUAAACAGCUCUUCCAUGUCACUGAGAAAACGAGCAAGAUCCAGGGAGGAAAAAUGGAUACAGGAUAUAAAUAGAAAAUCCUCAAAACAGGAAUUUCAAAAUGUCAACAAACAGGCAAAACUUUCUUUCAACAGCGCUAUUAUGACUGGGUCUCGCUAUGUUGCCCAAGCCAUUCUGGAGCUCCUGCGCUUAAGUGAUCCUCCUGCCUCAGCCUCCCAAGUAACUGGAAUUAUAAAUGUGAGCCACUGUGCCCAGCAAUUACAAAAUUUUUGGAAUGCAAUUGGGAAGUACAGCUGAAAAACUUCAGCAACGUGGGCUGUUUGAUUGUACAAUCGCACUUCUUGGAAUUUAUCCUACAGAAAUCAGUAGUCAAGUUCACAAAAACUGACAAUAGCCAUUACAGAGAAGCAGAAGAAAGGGAAAUAAAAACAUUCAAACCUACCAACAGGAGAUUGGACAAAUAAAUCAUGUUAUAACUAUACAAUGGGCUAUUAUGUAACCAUUAAAAUGAUCAUCUAUUCUA
rnacentral:lncRNA from 1 species